GAUGAACGCUAGCGAUAGGCUUAACACAUGCAAGUCGAGGGGUAACAUGGGAGUAGCUUGCUACUUCUGAUGACGACCGGCGGAUGGGUGAGUAACACGUGAGCAACCUGCCUCUCAGAGUGGAAUAACAGUUGGAAACGGCUGCUAAUACCGCAUAACGUCAUAGUACCGCAUGAUACCUUGACCAAAGAUUUAUCGCUGAGAGAUGGGCUCGCGUCCGAUUAGGUAGAUGGUGGGGUAACGGCCUACCAUGCCGACGAUCGGUAGCCGGACUGAGAGGUUGAUCGGCCACAUUGGGACUGAGACACGGCCCAG
rnacentral:rRNA from 1 species